rnacentral:rRNA from 1 species
UUGAAACACCAUUUCCCAUAUGAUCACUGAAAUUAAGCAACAUCAAGCCUGGUCAGUACCUAGAUGGGUGACUGCUUGGGAAUACCUGGUGCUGUAUG